GUGAAUCAUCAAAUCUUUGAACGCAAAUUGCACUCUCCUCGGAGAGUAUGCCUGUUUGAGGGUCAGUAUUAAUAAAAAUCGGUGUGUUGCCUCUUUGUGACGCUCCGGAGUUUGGGUCAUCUUAAUAUCCUUUAGGUUUUAAGAGGCUUAAAAUUGACUUUUUUGCGCAUUUUAGACGUACAUAAAUUCUUUUUUUAAUUGUUUUGUUUUAUGCCUAAAAUUCUUAUAGAAUCCG
rnacentral:misc_RNA from 1 species